GGGGACUAUUGAACAUAGAGAUAGAAUCAUUUUAGCCCUUGGCUAUGUAUAUAGCUAGUCUUUCUUCGUCAUGUGAUUGUCAAACUCCUAGAGGGUACAUAAUUGCUUAUUACCUGUUCGAUUUCUAUCCCGUGGUACUCCUAUAGUAUGCUUAUGGAGGAUUCCUAUCUAUCAUAGGCUUGAAGACUUUUAUACGAAUAUACUUUGAUUGCUUUUUACCAAACCUUUUCAUCGCACCUCAACGAAUCUUUUUCUACGCUUUCUUAUUAUAAAUAUAUUUAUGAUAGGACCUUACUUCUUUCUUUAGAGUUCUAGCUUGAUUGAUGGAUUCUUUAUUUUACUGAACUACUAGACUUUUUGAAAAAAAUGUAGAUAAAGUCUACCUUUAUCCUAGAGGGUAUAUUCUCAACCAUAAUCAAGAGGAGCAGAUAAAGCAAUUAUAAUAAAAAGCUAAAGCGGAGCCCAGGACUGCUCUUUCUUUCUCUCAAUCCAAACCUGCAUCCGCCGAACUAACAUAUCUUCUUUCUUCCGAACCAAUAGCUCCCAUUUCUUCUGAACCAGCAUAUCCAACUAAUAAUUGAGGCAUCCAAAUCCACAUAUGAAUCGGGAUUAGUAUCAACUUUUUCUAAGGCUGUUCUUUCUCUUCAAAAUCUAAAGUCUGAAGCUGGCUGAAAGCACCCCUUGCCCUAUGGCUCAUGGCAAGACAAGCUUGACUCCUUCGUUCAAUCAGCAUCCGUAAAGCUAACUUUUCUCCUC
rnacentral:lncRNA from 1 species